rnacentral:sRNA from 1 species
CCUGAAUUUGGUCACCUUCAUCCUGUUGUCCUCCUUUUCCUGAAUAUGUCUGGUGAUGGCCAAGCAUAUAAUCAAGUUUUUCUCACAUUACCUUGGAACCAAAUCCAGAGCCCAAGACAGUGAACAGGUAGCCAAACUAGGACUUUUUGAGAGGAAGCUGGGAAUGAGCAUGAGUGGUAGUCCAGGUGUUCAGAGUUGACUACUUUCUUUCUCUAGCACGUAACCAAGGCUUUGACGUGGUGCUGGUGGACACGGCAGGCCGCAUGCAAGACAAUGCCCCUCUGAUGACUGCCCUGGCCAAACUCAUUACUGUCAAUACACCUGACUUGGUGCUGUUUGUAGGAGAAGCCUUAGUAGGCAAUGAAGCCGUGGACCAGCUGGUCAAGUUCAACAGAGCCUUGGCUGACCAUUCUAUGGCUCAGACACCUCGGCUCAUUGAUGGCAUUGUUCUUACCAAAUUUGAUACCAUUGAUGACAAGGUAAACGUGAGACUGGAGGCUGGAAUGGGCAUCCUGCACGAAGGAGCUGAGGCUGCAAGGAAAUCUUGGCUCCAGCGCUUCCUGUUCCUGAGAGGGUGAGUGAAAAGUGGGCUUGUGUUGAUGGGCUGUCCUCUUUCUCCACUUAGGUGGGAGCUGCUAUUUCUAUGACGUACAUCACAAGCAAACCCAUCGUCUUUGUGGGCACCGGCCAGACCUACUGUGACCUACGCAGCCUCAAUGCCAAGGCUGUGGUGGCUGCCCUCAUGAAGGCUUAACGUGGCUCUUGCCCAAUACCAAAUCGCCGCUUUCCCCACAAGCCCUUCUUCCUGUAUCAAGAAUGUGCUUUAGAG